rnacentral:rRNA from 1 species
UCUGAUGUGAAAGCCCACGGCUCAACCGUGGAGGGUCAUUGGAAACUGGGGAACUUGAGUGCAGAAGAGGAGAGUGGAAUUCCACGUGUAGCGGUGAAAUGCGUAGAGAUGUGGAGGAACACCAGUGGCGAAGGCGACUCUCUGGUCUGUAACUGACGCUGAGGCGCGAAAGCGUGGGGAGCGAACAGGAUUAGAUACCCUGGUAGUCCACGCCGUAAACGAUGAGUGCUAAGUGUUAGAGGGUUUCCGCCCUUUAGUGCUGCAGCAAACGCAUUAAGCACUCCGCCUGGGGAGUACGGUCGCAAGACUGAAACUCAAAGGAAUUGACGGGGGCCCGCACAAGCGGUGGAGCAUGUGGUUUAAUUCGAAGCAACGCGAAGAACCUUACCAGGUCUUGACAUCCUUCGCUACUUCUAGAGAUAGAAGGUUCCCCUUCGGGGGACGAAGUGACAGGUGGUGCAUGGUUGUCGUCAGCUCGUGUCGUGAGAUGUUGGGUUAAGUCCCGCAACGAGCGCAACCCUUGAUCUUAGUUGCCAGCAUUCAGUUGGGCACUCUAAGGUGACUGCCGGUGACAAACCGGAGGAAGGUGGGGAUGACGUCAAAUCAUCAUGCCCCUUAUGACCUGGGCUACACACGUGCUACAAUGGAUGGUACAAAGGGCUGCAAGACUGCGAAGUCAAGCCAAUCCCAUAAAACCAUUCUCAGUUCGGAUUGCAGGCUGCAACUCGCCUGCAUGAG